UAGGGAAUCUUCCGCAAUGGACGAAAGUCUGACGGAGCAACGCCGCGUGAGUGAAGAAGGAUUUCGGUUCGUAAAACUCUGUUGUUAGGGAAGAAAAAAUGUAUAGUAACUAUAUACAAAAGAGACGGUACCUAACCAGAAAGCCACGGCUAACUACGUGCCAGCAGCCGCGGUAAUACGUAGGUGGCAAGCGUUGUCCGGAAUCAUUGGGCGUAAAGGGUACGUAGGCGGGUAAGCAAGUUAGAAGUGAAAUCCUGUAGCUCAACUACAGUAAGCUUUUAAAACUGCUCAUCUUGAGAUAUGGAAGGGAAAGUGGAAUUCCUAGUGUAGCGGUGAAAUGCGCAGAUAUUAGGAGGAAUACCGGUGGCGAAGGCGACUUUCUGGCCAUAAUCUGACGCUGAGGUACGAAAGCGUGGGUAGCAAACAGG
rnacentral:rRNA from 1 species